rnacentral:tRNA from 1 species
GUAGAAGUGGCAGAGUAGUGCGCUAGAUUUAAGCUCUAGAUAUAAAGAUAUUUCUUUCUUCUAUA